GAUGGCACAAUGAGGAGUUAAUAUAUGUAUAGAGGUUGGAAUACCAAUGACACUUCAUGUCCUUUUCAUUCUGAGUGCCUU
rfam:Hordeum vulgare subsp. vulgare, WGS project CAJW01000000 data, contig: morex_contig_40864